rnacentral:rRNA from 1 species
GAUGAACGCUGGCGGCGUGCCUAAUACAUGCAAGUCGAGCGAACAGACGAGGAGCUUGCUCCUUUGACGUUAGCGGCGGACGGGUGAGUAACACGUGGAUAACCUACCUACAAGACUGGGAUAACUUCGGGAAACCGGAGCUAAUACCGGAUAACAUGUUGAACCGCAUGGUUCAACAGUGAAAGACGGUCUUGCUGUCACUUAUAGAUGGAUCCGCGCCGCAUUAGCUAGUUGGUAAGGUAACGGCUUACCAAGGCAACGAUGCGUAGCCGACCUGAGAGGGUGAUCGGCCACACUGGAACUGAGACACGGUCCAGACUCCUACGGGAGGCAGCAGUAGGGAAUCUUCCGCAAUGGGCGAAAGCCUGACGGAGCAACGCCGCGUGAGUGAAGAAGGUCUUCGGAUCGUAAAACUCUGUUAUUAGGGAAGAACAAAUGUGUAAGUAACUAUGCACGUCUUGACGGUACCUAAUCAGAAAGCCACGGCUAACUACGUG